UAGGGAAUCUUCGGCAAUGGACGGAAGUCUGACCGAGCAACGCCGCGUGAGUGAAGAAGGUUUUCGGAUCGUAAAGCUCUGUUGUAAGAGAAGAACGAGUGUGAGAGUGGAAAGUUCACACUGUGACGGUAUCUUACCAGAAAGGGACGGCUAACUACGUGCCAGCAGCCGCGGUAAUACGUAGGUCCCGAGCGUUGUCCGGAUUUAUUGGGCGUAAAGCGAGCGCAGGCGGUUAGAUAAGUCUGAAGUUAAAAGCUGUGGCUUAACCAUAGUACGCUUUGGAAACUGUUUAACUUGAGUGCAAGAGGGGAGAGUGGAAUUCCAUGUGUAGCGGUGAAAUGCGUAGAUAUAUGGAGGAACACCGGUGGCGAAAGCGGCUCUCUGGCUUGUAACUGACGCUGAGGCUCGAAAGCGUGGGGAGCAAACAGGAUUAGAUACCCUGGUAGUCCACGCCGUAAACGAUGAGUGCUAGGUGUUAGACCCUUUCCGGGGUUUAGUGCCGUAGCUAACGCAUUAAGCACUCCGCCUGGGGAGUACGACCGCAAGGUUG
rnacentral:rRNA from 1 species